CUCCAUGCCUCUCCCUCUCCCUUCAUCUCUCCUCUCUCUCUCUCUCUGCGCCUCUCCCUCUCCCUCUACAGUCGAGCCCUUUCUUAGAUCCAUCAUCUUCAUUGCCUCCAUGCUUCCGAUAAUCAGUGACCGGAAUCAAUGGUUGUCAUAAGCGGCCAACUCAUAGUAAAGAUAUGCAACGAGGAAUACAAUAGGCCCACAUGCAUGUUGUUAGGCGUUUAAGCAAAGUUAUCAAUGAUUAUUUCGGACCUGACUAUGAUUCUCGGCAUUGCACAUGGGCUCAAUCUUCUUUUUGGACUGGACCUAUUCAUAUGUGUUUUUUUGUCUGCAAUUGAUGUUGUGCUAUUUCCACUAUUUAUCACCCUCUUGGACAAAUGCAAGAUGGAAAAGCUGUUUACGAGCAUAGCAGGCCUUACACUACUUUUUUACAUGUUUGGAGUGCUUAUCAGUCAACCAGAAAUCCCCCUUAAUAUGAGUUGGAAUCUUCCAAGUUUGAAGGGGGAGAAUGCAUACACACUCAUGAGUCUACUUGGUGCGAAUAUCAUGCCUCAUGG